AUGCGUUUUGCGUGACAGGCCGAGGAUCCGGAGCUUUUUCUCCGCCUCGGCUCAAACAAAAGGUAAAGAUGAGGCGGCGUGGAGGUGUCGAUGCACGGGAUAUUGGAAGAGGAUUUGCAGAUCGGUAACUGAAACGCCGCACCACAUCACGAUCUGACAGUGACUCGAUUUAUUAUUCAUUCAGCAUUGGACAUUUUUGACCGUUGAAUCUCAGUCUGGGAGAAUAUUAUCAAGGAUGGCUCCUGCUCGAAAGCGAAUGAAAAGUCACGCCGGCAUUGUACCGUACCUGAACGUUGUUGGGUUCAGCAGCCACGCCGGGGUUGGGG